UGAACGAGCGGGUGUACGGCGCUGCCUUCCGCUGCACGAGGGCCCCUUCGAGACGCCUGAGUCUGAGGUCCCCGCUGAAGCCCUGAACCCUCGCCAAGUCCUCUACCGCUUCUGGGCCCAGUGGGGCUGCUGGUACCGGUGCGUGUCGGGGAUCCUUCCCUCUCCUCCCUGAGGCCAGAGGGGGGCUGUGGCUGGAUACACACCUCCCCCUGCAGGGAACGAGGCCGCCUGCCCCAAAGCACAGACACAGACCAGAGGAGUUUAAGGAGACUCUCUCUUCAGGUCUCCAGCCACUAACUGGUGCCAGUCCUGGACAUGUGAGCAGAGCCGAGUGCAGCGAUGCACCGACUCCCCCCAGCGAUGGCACUGGGUUGGCAGGUGGCACCAUUCAUGGCA